rnacentral:rRNA from 1 species
GACGAACGCUGGCGGCGUGCUUAACACAUGCAAGUCGAACGGAAAGGCCCUGCUUUUGUGGGUUGCUCGAUUGGCGAACGGGUGAGUAUCACGUGAGUAACCCGCCCUUGACUUUGUGAUAACUUCUGGAAACUGGGGCUAAUACCCGAUAGGAGCUCCUGCUGCAUGGUGUGGGUUGGAAAGUUUCGGUGGUUGGGGAUGGACUCGCGGCUUAUCCGCUUGUUGGUGGGGUAGUGGCUUACCAAGGCUUUGACGGGUAGCCGGCCUGAGAGGGUGACCGGCCACAUUGGGACUGAGAUACGGCCCAGACUCCUACGGGAGGCAGCAGUGGGGAAUAUUGCACAAUGGGCGGAAGCCUGAUGCAGCAACGCCGCGUGCGGGAUGACGGCCUUCGGGUUGUAAACCGCUUUCGCCUGUGACGAAGCGUGAGUGACGGUAAUGGGUAAAGAAGCACCGGCUAACUACGUG